AACCAUAGAAACCUGCGGAGUACCUGCGGAGGGAUCAUUACAGAGUUGCAAAACUCCCUAAACCAUUGUGAACGUUACCUAAACCGUUGCUUCGGCGGGCGGCCCGGGUCCUUCCCGGCGCCCCUCGGCCCUCGCGGGCGCCCGCCGGAGGUAAACCAAACUAUUGCAUUGUAUGGCCUCUCUGAGUCCUCUGUACUGAAUAAGUCAAAACUUUCAGCAACGGAUCUCAGAUCGGAAGAG
rnacentral:misc_RNA from 1 species